rnacentral:tRNA from 1 species
UAGGAGAUAGAAUAAUGAAGUUCUAAAGAUUUUGAGUCUUUUUGUGCAGGUUCGAGUCCUGUUUUUCUA